AUACGUAGGGAGCGAGCGUUGUCCGGAAUUACUGGGUGUAAAGGGAGCGUAGGCGGGAGUGCAAGUCAGAUGUGAGAUGCAUGGGCUUAACCCAUGAGCUGCAUUUGAAACUGCAUUUCUUGAGUGAAGUAGAGGUAAGCGGAAUUCCUGGUGUAGCGGUGAAAUGCGUAGAUAUCAGGAGGAACACCGGUGGAGAAGGCGGCUUACUGGGCUUUUACUGACGCUGAGGGUCGAAAGCGUGGGGAGCAGACAGGAUUAGAUACCCUGGUAGUCCACGCUGUAAACGGUGAUUACUAGGUGUGGGGGGACUGACCCCGUCCGUGCCGCAGUUAACACAAUAAGUAAUCCACCUGGGGAGUACGGCCGCAAGAUUGAAACUCAAAGGAAUAGACGGGG
rnacentral:rRNA from 1 species